rnacentral:rRNA from 1 species
UACGUAGGGCGCAAGCGUUGUCCGGAAUUAUUGGGCGUAAAGAGCUCGUAGGCGGUCUGUCGCGUCGGAUGUGAAAGCCCGGGGCUUAACCCCGGGUCUGCAUUCGAUACGGGCAGACUAGAGUGUGGUAGGGGAGAUCGGAAUUCCUGGUGUAGCGGUGAAAUGCGCAGAUAUCAGGAGGAACACCAAUAGCGAAGGCAGCUCGCUGGGACGGUACUGACGCUGAGGCGCGAAAGCGUGGGGAGCGAACAGG